AGCUUUGUGCAGUGACAGUAUCAUAGCCAAUGAGGUUUGUCUGAGGCACGAUUAUUGCUAAUUAAAGAUUUAUUUGUUUUACUUGAAAAGC
rnacentral:snRNA from 1 species